AUUGAACGCUGGCGGCAUGCCUUACACAUGCAAGUCGAACGGCAGCGGACCUUCGGGUGCCGGCGAGUGGCGAACGGGUGAGUAAUAUAUCGGAACGUACCUUUCAGUGGGGGAUAACGUAGCGAAAGUUACGCUAAUACCGCAUAUUCUGUGAGCAGGAAAGCAGGGGGUCGCAAGACCUUGCGCUGAUUGAGCGGCCGAUAUCAGAUUAGCUAGUUGGUGAGGUAAAGGCUCACCAAGGCGACGAUCUGUAGCGGGUCUGAGAGGAUGAUCCGCCACACUGGAACUGAGACAGGUCCAGACUCCUACGGGAGGCAGCAGU
rnacentral:rRNA from 1 species